rnacentral:rRNA from 1 species
GACGAACGCUGGCGGCGUGCUUAACACAUGCAAGUCGAACGGUAAGGCCCUUCGGGGUACACGAGUGGCGAACGGGUGAGUAACACGUGGGUGAUCUGCCCUGCACUUCGGGAUAAGCCUGGGAAACUGGGUCUAAUACCGGAUAGGACCACUGCCUGCAUGGGUGGUGGUGGAAAGCUUUUGCGGUGUGGGAUGGGCCCGCGGCCUAUCAGCUUGUUGGUGGGGUGAUGGCCCACCAAGGCGACGACGGGUAGCCGGCCUGAGAGGGUGACCGGCCACACUGGGACCGAGACACGGCCCAGACUCCUACGGGAGGCAGCAGUGGGGAAGAUUGCGCAAUGGACGAAAGUCUGACGCAGCGACGCCUCGUGAGGGACGAAGGUCUUCGGAUUGUAAACCUCUUUCAGCAGGGACGAAGCGAAAGUGACGGUACCUGCAGAAGAAGCACCGGCUAACUAUGUGCCAGCCGCCGCCGUAA